rnacentral:lncRNA from 11 species
ACUCGUUUAUAAAUAUUAAUCCAUAUAAAAAAAAAUUUUCAUCUAAUAAAAUUUACACGAAUCUCACAUCGAUAUCUGACCAAACUCUAAUCGAAUUAUCCUAUUAUCUUGCAAAAUAGUCAUGAUAACAUCGUUAACAUCGUCAUUUCAGAGAAAGUGUUUCCUUCUACACGAGCUCGAAAUUUCUCGGAUUGAUCGGGCGAAAAAUAGCAGCUGGUGGAAUUAUUAGAUGGUACUAUUCCUAGUUACACUUACAGCCUAGUUACGGUGAGCUACAGUUUCAUAUACAAAUGGAGUUCUAUUGUAUUCGAUUCCAUUAGGUUUAGCAUCGAAUCCAGGCGUGCAGCGUGAGAAAGCAAUUGCGGACCGACGACGACGGUUUAGAUUGAACGGGUGGGCAACGAGCAACCGGACAAUUUCGGUACACACGAAUCUCGCCGGGUCUCUGCCGAUUAACCUCUUAACAGCCGCGCUCGUUCGUCGACUAUGACUUUGCUGUGCUCAUUUCCAGCAGCGCCAGAUCGAGCGUUAGAUCGAGAGUCAAACGAUCAAACGAUUAAGCUCGUUGCUCCCGAGAACUUUGCUCCGUACUGUUCGCGCAAUAUUUCUAUGGAAACGUUUCGAAUUAUAUACAUAUAUAUAUAGAUAUACGUGCAACGUGGAUCGGUGGAAGGAAGUUUAAAUUUGAGAAAUUUGCCAGACAGGGGAAAUUUCACUUCAGGAUUUGUUAAACAGAAUGGGAAUAAGCAUGGUGUCAUUUCAAACUAAAAAGAUGAUUAAUCACUAUAAUCUUAAUUAUCAACUCAUCGACUUCGCAAUAGAAUAAUAAGAUAUUGUCUAAUAAUUUACUAACUACGAUCAAUAUUUAUAAAACGUCUGGAUAUCUUAUAUCUUAUGCUUCUAAACCAAACGUAAGAACGAUCAACUUAUUUAUCAAGAUACACCUUUUUGUACAACUUUUAGAAUCUGUUGUACAAAGGUACAUAAGUGUAUAAACACCCUGUAUAUGUACACGAGGCCAGCGAACCUCGAUGAAGUCAUCUCCAGCGUGGAAUCGGUUGCCAGACGCAUCCUUUACUUUCGAACCGCCUUACAAGGAAUCGCGGUAUACGUAGUUGCUCUCGUAAUCGAGUCGAAACGCGCUUCGACUCUUGUCAUCAUCGUCGAAACCGCGAUAUUUACGUGGAAAAGGCUGUGACACGAAGGCACGCGACAUCCCGUGGCUGCGUCGGUGGGAACCGGGCCAAGAUCGUCGGAUGGCCGACCCGUGGCAUCGAUCUUUCAUAGUGGAGGCGCGCGAAUCGCGACCACGUGGGCCAAUCGCGCAACAGCGCGACAAGAGGAGGAAAGGAAAUCCCCAACGAUUUUCGCCGCGAUUUUUUUCGCAACGAUUUUUUCGCACGCGACCGUCCAUCUAAUCCCGUUACCUCCUUCCAGGAUCGCAUCGUUUAUUUAUACGAUAAGCGUACAUAUUGUAAGAUUUUUGAAUGUACCGAAGGAUUAUUGAAGUUGAUUUGGAGGAAUGGAUUGUAUGGAGAAAGGAAAAGAAAAAACAAUAUAUUGAAUUUUUUAGAAGAAAGUGAUCUGGAUAAAAAAGUAAAGUAAAACAAUAAUAAUUACAUCAUUGGAUCUCUUUCGAAGCUAUUCUUGAAAUUUUUUCUACCAGGAAUAUUGCCAGAUUUAUUUUUGAUUCAGAUCGUGCGAGCAUAGAAAUCGGGGAGAGCGUGAAAACGGGAAAGUUUCACUCCCUGGAAGUAUUCCGUGGAGAGGCCUGGAACAAACGAUGACGGAAGAUUUGAGGAAAAUAUCUUAGGGAAGAUGAAGUUGGACCGGGGGCGUAUUUCGAUAAUCUGGCAUCGAUAAGAUCGAUGCUCGGUGAACUUGUGAACCUCGACUCGAUCAACAGAACAAUUUUUCAUGGCGUUUACAGGGUAAUCGGAGCCGAUGGGGCGGACGGAUCGUUAAAGUGCACCUAACCGGCCCUCCUCUCAUCGCGUGCACUUCCUGGGGGACGAUGUUCUUAUCUCUCUGCCCGAUAACAUUGACGAUAGGCCCCCGAAUAGCCAGAUAAGAGGAAUUAUCCCGAGAAAAUUCUACGAAUACUCCGCCCACGCACAGCUGCGCCACCGAAAAAUCUCACAGCUGCGUAGAUUUUUCCACUUCGUGAGCGGAUGUAUAUCGGGUGUCAUAAGAAGUAAGCCAGAGAAGUUUUUACCAUUUUUAUAAGGAUCUCUUAUUGAGUAUAGAGAUCUACAACGAGUUCAAUAAAAUAAAUGUAAACUGGAUACGAUUUUUAAUAAA